GAGGAUGCUCUCUCCCUUUCUCUCUGGACUCUUGGAGAACUGAGUCGGACACCAAAGUUUGUGUGGUGAGCCUGGGAGUGAUGAUCCAGUGGACAUGCAGACAGGAAAAUACCAGCUGAACCCACUCCCACCACAGAGUGAGAAACACAGGCGUGGAGGAUUUUCCAUUUCACGGUGUGUUCAUGGAUGUCAGCUCAUUUCAUUCUUACAGUAAGAAUUAUAUCCCCAC
rnacentral:lncRNA from 1 species